rnacentral:rRNA from 1 species
UACGUAGGGGGCUAGCGUUUGUCCGGAAUCAUUGGGCGUAAAGCGCGUGUAGGCGGUCCGGUAAGUCCGCUGUGAAAGUCGAGGGCUCAACCUUUUGAAAGCCGAUGGAUACUGCUGGGCUAGAGUCCGGAAGAGGCGAGUGGAAUUCCUGGUGUAGCGGUGGAAUGCGCAGAUAUCAGGAGGAACACCGAUAGCGAAGGCAGCUCGCUGGGACGGUACUGAGCUGAGGCGCGAAAAGCGUGGGGAGCGAACAGG